rnacentral:rRNA from 1 species
UACGUAGGGUGCAAGCGUUGUCCGGAAUUAUUGGGCGUAAAGAGCUCGUAGGCGGUCUGUCGCGUCGGCUGUGAAAACCCGGGGCUCAACUCCGGGCUUGCGGGCGAUACGGGCAGGCUAGAGUUCGGUAGGGGAGACUGGAAUUCCUGGUGUAGCGGUGAAAUGCGUAGAUAUCAGGAGGAACACCGGUGGCGAAGGCGGGUCUCUGGGCCGAUACUGACGCUGAGGAGCGAAAGCGUGGGGAGCGAACAGG